rnacentral:snRNA from 1 species
GGGCUUCAGUAGCACAUAUACUAAAGUUGGAACAAUGCAGAGAAGAUUAGCAUGGCCCCUGCGCAAGGAUGAUAUGCAAAUUAAUAAAGUGUUCCAUAUUUUU